GGGGACACUCUUCUUUAGCCCGCACAUCCCAGGCACCAAGGUGCCGAUGGGUGCCCGAGGCUACCGCACAUCGAAGCACCAAGUUACCGAUGGUGUCUGAGGCUCCCGCACCUCCUAGCCACCGAGGUGCCGAUGCUGCCCGAGGCUCUCGCACAUCCGAGCCACCAAGGUGCCGAUGGUGCCCGAGGCUCCCGUACAACCAAGGGUCGAGGUAUCGAUGGUGGCCGAGGCCCCCGCACGACCAAGGGCCUAUUUUGCUGAUGGUGCCCGAGGCUCCCGCACGACCAAGGGCUUAGUUUACCGAUAGUGCCCGAGCCUCUCGCACGACCAAGGGCCUAGGCUACCGAUGGUGCGCGAGGUUCUCGCACAUCUAAGCACCAAGGUGCCGAUGGUGCUCGAGGCUCCCGUACGACCAAGGGCCUAGGUUGCCAACAGUGUCCGAGGCUCUCGCACAUCAUAGCAUCGAGGUGCCGAUGGCGCCCGAGGCUCCCGCACAUCGAAGCACCGAGUUGCCGAUGGCGCCCAAGGCUCCUGCAUGACUAAGGGCUUAGUUUUCUGAUGGUGUCCGGGGCUCCUGUACAUCCUAGCACCGAGGUGCCGAUGGUGCCCGAGGCUCCCGCACGACCAAGGGCUUAUGCUACCGGAACAGUUCGCCGGAGCACCGACGGGACGGUUCACCGGAUCACCGCCGGGACGGAUCGCCGGAGCACUGCUGGGAACCUAACCGACGGUGGGGGGCACCGACGUCCAGGCAUACGGUGGGCGUGCGCCGUGCCCUGGGCAACCCCUGUUCGCUCAAUAUCACCUCCCCGCUAAAUAGCUAAAAAAACUUGGUCAAUGCGCUACCAGGUGACAUUCUUUUUUUUGUGAAACAAAAACGACCACAAGGGUCAACACAAUUUAUUACGAAACAUCAUGAAUUACAGCAUUGUGGAUUUCCGGAGGAUAAUCCAUAUCGAACAAAUAUUUUUUUCCCUCGCUAUACCUUUUUUUACAAAGUAAAUGAGCUACAGUAUUACAUGACCGUUCGGUCCAAAUUAAAUUGGCCGAUUUAAAAAAGCUAAAGGCUGCUAUACAUUCCUUUAUCCGCUCGCCUAUCGUAGUGACGUCAUGGGCUGACUUAUUGAAUUUAUUGACCAGCCCCACGUGAUCUGUUCCGAAAAGAACAUGUUCUUUAAAAUUCAAAUUACGCACCACGUUGAUGCUUUCUUCAAAAGCCAUGCACUCAGCCUCUUCCACCGACAUCCUACCCUCUUUAAAACCCCGACCACCUCCCAAGACAAAUCCCUCUUCAUCCCUUAUAAUCGUUCCAGAGCCAUCUUUGAGCGUUUCCGCCGCUGUCGCAAUACUUGUCCAAGUGAAUGACGCUUUGUCCACAUUUUUUGCAUUAAAGAUGUUACCGUUGGGAAAGUAUUUUGAAGACAAAACCUUGAAGCAGAGAGUAUCAGUAUUGUUUAUUAGUCUCCAUACUUGACGCCCUAAAAGAGCCAGGUUGAAGAGUCGCACGUUUCUAAUUCCAAGACCUCCCAUAGCCUUCGGCUUACACAGCGUUUUCCAUGGGGUCAUUGUCCAGAAUCUCCCUCUAUCUUUUCCCGUCCACCAUGUUCUGCUGAACUUAGCCGAAAUAUCCUCGAUGAUACUUUUGGGAGCCAAGAAAAUUGACAGAGCGUACGUAGGAAUGGAUUGGAGAACCGCUUUAAUGAAGACUUCUUUUCCCCCAGACGAUAGCAAUCUCUUUGUCCAGCUGUUAAUCCUGCAAGACAGACUAUUAGUAAUCUCUUGGAAAGCAACAAUUUUUUCUUACCAAUCGGGAUAGGGAGGCCUAGAUAGUUGUUUAAGCUUUCCACCACCGACAUGCCUAGGAUACCACCAAGGACUAUUCUCUGGUCACGUGAGGUGUUAGGGCUGAAUAGGACCAUUGACUUAUCAAAAUUAACCUCUUGUCCUGAAAUAUUAGAAAAAUUAUUAAGCAUGUUAACAAGGCUCUCCACAUCGCUCUUCUUGUUUCUCACAAACAACAGUGCAUCAUCAGCAAAAAACAAGUGAUUUAUUCUGGGGCCGUUCCUGCUGGCCCUUAUGCCUCUUAAAGUGUUGUUCUCCUGAGCAUGGGUAAGCAUUCUCGACAGAGCUUCCAUGCAAAAUAAGAACAAAUAAGGAGAGAGAGGGUCCCCUUGUCGGAGCCCCCUCUCAGGGAUGAAAGUUUCCGAUAAGAUAUUGUUGCAUUUAACCGUAUAUUUAACCGAACGAACGCAUUCCAUUAUUUUGGCAAUCUACUUCCCAUCGAAUCCCAUUUUCUUCAUAAUUAUUUCCAAGAAGUUCCACUCUUCACGGUCAUAAGCUUUGCUCAUGUCGAGCUUGACCACGAGCCCUUUAUUAGGACCAUUUUUAGAGCUUUUAAGGUAAUGGAGAAGCUCAUGCGCAAUUAAGAUAUUGUCGUGUAUCAUCCUCCCCGGCACAAAUGCGCUUUGAUUUUGGCUAAUGCAGCUUGGUAGGACAGCUUUUAACCGAUUUGCAUACACCUUAGAGAUGAUCUUGUACACAAACCUGCACAAACUAAUAGGUCGAAUGUUAGUAAGCUCACAAGGAUCUCUAGUUUUAGGAAUUAAAAUGAUCAUAGUAUCGUUGAGGCAAGAGAUAUCCUUUUUCCCGUUUAAAAUAUCCAAGCAGUAUCUAAUAGUGUCCUUUCCCACUAUCUCCCAAUGGUGUUUGAAGAAAUUGCCCGAUAGACCAUCGAUGCCAGGGGCUUUAUUAGGGUCCAUCUGCUUGAUUGCCUGAGUAAUCUCUUCCUCUGUAUAGAUCAUAUUGAGCCUUUCAUUUGUUUCCCUAGUAACGCACUCCUUUAUAUGCCCCAUCUCUUGGAUGUUAGCAUUUUGACUGUUUGACCGGAACAAACUCACAAAGUAAUCUUUGGCCACCUUACAUAUUUCUUUACUAUUUGUCACCCAAUUUCCUUCCGCAUCUUUGAGCCUCUCAAUGUUAUUCUUCUUUAAACGACCAGUUGCUUUAGCAUGGAAAAACCUGGUAUUUCUAUCUCCCUCCCUCAGCCAUCUUGACCUAGACCUUUGGGCCCAGUAGCUUUCUUCCUUAGUGUAUAGAAAGUCGAGCCUUCUGCGAGUUUCCUUGAGAGUUUUCCCACUAUCCGCUUUGCUUGCAGAAUCAAUGACCACCUCGAUCUGUUUUUCCAAUUUUCGCAUUUCGUUCUUCAUUUUUCCAAAUUUUUUACAUUGCCAUGGACCGAGCGCCGAUCGAACCCUAUCCAUUUUAUCCCCGUAGUCUGUACCCUCAUUGUUCCAAGCUCUUUCAAUAACAUUUUUAGCUUCCUUAUUCCCGACCCAACAUACAUCAAAAUUGAAGCACAAUCUCUUAUCCUUCGGGAAAGGUUUCGGUUUCCGACCCCACAAAUCUAAAAUAAUCGCGUCAUGAUCGGACUGGGUUUGUCUUAGAACUUUAGUAGCUAUAAACGGGAAAUUUUCAACCACUGCCACCGAGGUGAGGAAUCUAUCAAGUCUUUCCUUUAUCAACCUCCCCUCUUCUCUAUUGUUUACCCAGGUGAACCAACCACUGUCUGGCUUAAUAUCAACUAAAGCCAUCUCAUCCAUGACUGCUUUGAACUCAUUCAUCUGGGCCCUCAAUCCCUUGCGACCCCCUUCUUUCUCAGCAUCAUUCAGUAUAGCAUUAAAGUCUCCCCCAAUCACCCACUCCUCCCUAACCGAUUCCCCGACCCUCCGCAAAAUAUCCCAAGAGCUUCUUCUACGAUUCAGAUUAGCACGCCCAUAGAAUCCAGUAACCCGAAUGGUUUUAUUGUUCUCCAGUCUGACCAUGGAGUCUAUAUGAUGUUUGGAGUAGUUUUGUAUAGAAACAUUCAUCCCGUCCCUCCAUAUCAACGCAAGCCCACCACUCCGACCCUCUGAAUUAACAUCUAAACCAUUUUGCAGCCUACAGUUAUUCUGAACCCUACGCAAAUCAGUGGCAGACAUUUUGAUUUCGCUAAGAAAAAUAAUAUCAGGGUUGUUGACAGCGAGAAGUUGCUUUAACUCCCUUAUUUUAGCAGAGUUCCCCAGACCACGACAAUUCCAACUCAAGAAUUUCAUUGAGACAUCAUAAAGAUCGCAACUAGAUUUGACGGAAUAGCCCGAUGCUCGCCACCAUAGAGGACGCCACAAAACAACCCAGAACCUGCGCAAAAACAAGAACAGCAAGAAAAGGAAGAAAACUGCACCUAGUGACAAACUACAACAAACGAGAAAGAACACCCCGACAAACACCAAACAGCGACCGUUAACCAAAACCCCUCGCCAGAUUUCAAGAACAUGAAAAACGCCAACAAACAAGACCAACCAAAGUCCCUGGAGAACAAAACCCGACGAAACCCAAAAAGCUAGCACGACGAAACAAAACCAAAGAAGCACUAAACCCUACCGACGAUGACGGUUAAGCAGUCAGCAAAACAGGGUCAAGAACGUUCAAAACCAAUUGUUCAAAAAUGACAUGCAAGAAUGCAAUAAUUAAAAAACCCUUAAAACAUGCAAGAACAACGAUAAUGGAACGUAGAAAAGUUAAUAGGGAUAACUUUUCUAGCCACCGCGGGCCCACCGCAAAAAUUUCUAUCGCAUACACCCAAAUGACCAUGCAAAACCCACGUAGCCAAAAUCUUGUUUUGCAUGCGAGCACCACAAAAAACUCAAGAAACAAAAGAAGCCGAAUAGAAAUCACCAAAAAACUACCCAAAAGCCUGCCAGAAAACGUCCAAUCCGACCAAAGCCAAGCACAGAACCUGUCGCAUCAAGUUAGAACUCCAUACAGCACAUUCAAAGAAUCAGUCAGGUCGUCAAUCGUGCCUAUCAAGAACCGUCUCUCUAUCAACUGGACAUUGACGAAAACCCUCCUCAACAGACCACGUAUCACAAUCGCCAGCGAAGAGGGACAGAAACAACCAAAAAGCACCGCUACGCAACACCCAAAAAAACUCAACCCACCGCUACUGCCAUUGAAAACCAAGG
rnacentral:lncRNA from 1 species